rnacentral:rRNA from 1 species
GACGAACGCUGGCGGCGUGCCUAAUACAUGCAAGUAGGAUGCAGUUGCGAACGGGUGAGUAACGCGUAGGUAACUACCUAUUAGAGGGGGAUAACUAUUGGAAACGAUAGCUAAUACCGCAUACUAGUAGAUGGACCUGCGUUGUAUUAGCUAGUAGGUAGGGUAAUGGCCUACCUAGGCAGCGAUACAUAGCCGACCUGAGAGGGUGAGCGGCCGCACUUGAACUGAGACACGGCCCAGACGCCUACGGGAGGAAGCAGUAAGGAAUCGUCGGCAAUGGGGGGAACACUGACCGAGCAACGCCGCGUAAGUGAAGAGGGUUUUCGGAUCGUAAAGCGCUGUUGUUAAUGAAUCGGUACUUAACCAGAAAGGGACGGCUAACUACGGGCCAGCAGCCGCGGUAAUUC